UUAUUACUUCUUCCGUCCAACAAAGAAUGUCUCAACUUUGACUAAAUUUGAAUGCAUCUAUACACUAAGUCAUGUCUAAGUCAUAUCUAGAUAUAUCCAAAUUUUGACAAACUUGAGACAUCUUUUGUUGGACGGAGGGAGUAGUUA
rfam:Brachypodium distachyon strain Bd21 chromosome 5, whole genome shotgun sequence.